rnacentral:rRNA from 1 species
AGAGUUUGAUCCUGGCUCAGGGUGAACGCUGGUAACGUGGAUACCGGCAUGCAAGUCAAGGGGACCCGCAAGGGUAACCGGCGAACGGCUUAGUAACACGUGGGUACCAACCUUAAAGAGGGGCAUAGCUCGUCGAAAGACGGGGUAAUUUCCCAUAGUCUCGCAAGAGUAAAGGCGCAAGCCGCUUUAAGAUGGGCCCGCGGUCUAUCAGCUAGUUGGUGAGGUAACGGCUCACCAAGGCUAUGACGGAUAGGGGGCGUGAGAGCGCGACCCUCAAGAAUGGCACUGCGACACGGGCCAUACUCCUACGGGAGGCUGCAGUCGAGAAUCUUCCGCAAUGGACGAAAGUCUGACGGAGCGACGUUACGUGAAUGAAGAAGCCCUUCGGGGUGUAAAGUUCUUUUAUCUGGGAGGAAGUUAUUGACUUACCAGA